rnacentral:misc_RNA from 1 species
AUCUUUUUUUAAUUUACUUUUAAUAAAAUAUAUGUUCGAUAAUUUAAGAGUGGGUUUUAAAUACAUGCGCGAAAAAAACGCGCUGAAAUCGAUAAUGAUCCUUCCGCAGGUUCACCUACGGAAA